rnacentral:tRNA from 1 species
GCCGGGAUGGCGGAACUGGUAGACGCGCACGACUCAAAAUCGUGUGGACUCUGUCCAUGAGGGUUCGACCCCCUCUCCCGGUA